rnacentral:rRNA from 1 species
CAGUAGCCGCGGUAAUUCGUAGGUCCCGAGCGUUGUCCGGAUUUAUUGGGCGUAAAGCGAGCGCAGGCGGCUAGAUAAGUCUGAAGUUAAAGGCUGUGGCUUAACCAUAGUACGCUUUGGAAACUGUUUAACUUGAGUGCAAGAGGGGAGAGUGGAAUUCCAUGUGUAGCGGUGGAAUGCGUAGAUAUAUGGAGGAACACCGGUGGCGAAAGCGGCUCUCUGGCUUGUAACUGACGCUGAGGAGCGAAAGCGUGGGGAGCGAACAGGAUUAGAUACCCCAGUAGUCCCUGUCUCUUAUACA